rnacentral:lncRNA from 1 species
UUACCUUAAGGUUUGGGGUAUCAAACUUAUGUAAAAUGUUCACAAAUCGACUAGCUUGGAUCUUGAUCUGAUAAAUAUUAUAUUAAAAAUAUUUUUUCUACCUUCUUGAUAGAUAUAAGAUGUUCAUGAAACGUAAGGUAUUCUUUUUGAAAAAAAAAAAUUUGAUGAAGAAACUGAUGCCAUUAAGAGCAAGCUUGGUGAAGCUUGAUGGGUAGAGGAACCGACUCUGACACAAACCAAUAGAAUCGAAGUUAAUUAGAUUAAAUUUAAAGCUCGAUGUAAAGGUAUCUUUGAGUAGAUAUAGUAGAGUACCGUAUCAACCAAACAGAUACUUCGAUUUCUAUAUUUGGGAUGGAGAUUUGAUCUUCCAUAAGAUGCAAUACAGGGAUCUAACUUUAAGAAGUGGCUUGGAGCCAUUAAAUUUGAAAUAAAGUCCAUGAAGAUCGAUGGUAUGGACAUUUGUUGAUUCACCUGAAUAGGUAAGACCCAUAAGGUAUGAGUGGAUUUUAGAUGGAUAAAGAUGUAGAUGAAAAGGUGGAGACCUAUUAAUUCUAUUCGGUUGCCAAAGGAUUUCAUCAAAAUUACA